rnacentral:rRNA from 1 species
CCGGCGAUUUCCGAAUGGGGAAACCCAGUGUGUUUCGACACACUAUCAUUAACUGAAUCCAUAGGUUAAUGAGGCGAACCGGGGGAACUGAAACAUCUAAGUACCCCGAGGAAAAGAAAUCAACCGAGAUUCCCCCAGUAGCGGCGAGCGAACGGGGAGGAGCCCAGAGCCUGAAUCAGUGUGUGUGUUAGUGGAAGCGUCUGGAAAGGCGCGCGAUACAGGGUGACAGCCCCGUACACAAAAAUGCACACAUUGUGAGCUCGAUGAGUAGGGCGGGACACGUGGUAUCCUGUCUGAAUAUGGGGGGACCAUCCUCCAAGGCUAAAUACUCCUGACUGACCGAUAGUGAACCAGUACCGUGAGGGAAAGGCGAAAAGAACCCCGGCGAGGGGAGUGAAAAAGAACCUGAAACCGUGUACGUACAAGCAGUGGGAGCCUCUUAAUGGGGUGACUGCGUACCUUUUGUAUAAUGGGUCAGCGACUUAUAUUCUGUAGCAAGGUUAACCGAAUAGGGGAGCCGAAGGGAAACCGAGUCUUAACUGGGCGUUAAGUUGCAGGGUAUAGACCCGAAACCCGGUGAUCUAGCCAUGGGCAGGUUGAAGGUUGGGUAACACUAACUGGAGGACCGAACCGACUAAUGUUGAAAAAUUAGCGGAUGACUUGUGGCUGGGGGUGAAAGGCCAAUCAAACCGGGAGAUAGCUGGUUCUCCCCGAAAGCUAUUUAGGUAGCGCCUCGUGAAUUCAUCUCCGGGGGUAGAGCACUGUUUCGGCAAGGGGGUCAUCCCGACUUACCAACCCGAUGCAAACUGCGAAUACCGGAGAAUGUUAUCACGGGAGACACACGGCGGGUGCUAACGUCCGUCGUGAAGAGGGAAACAACCCAGACCGCCAGCUAAGGUCCCAAAGUCAUGGUUAAGUGGGAAACGAUGUGGGAAGGCCCAGACAGCCAGGAUGUUGGCUUAGAAGCAGCCAUCAUUUAAAGAAAGCGUAAUAGCUCACUGGUCGAGUCGGCCUGCGCGGAAGAUGUAACGGGGCUAAACCAUGCACCGAAGCUGCGGCAGCGACACUAUGUGUUGUUGGGUA